rnacentral:rRNA from 1 species
GAUGAACGCUGGCGGCGUGCCUAAUACAUGCAAGUCGAGCGAACGGACGAGAAGCUUGCUUCUCUGAUGUUAGCGGCGGACGGGUGAGUAACACGUGGAUAACCUACCUAUAAGACUGGGAUAACUUCGGGAAACCGGAGCUAAUACCGGAUAAUAUUUUGAACCGCAUGGUUCAAAAGUAAAAGACGGUCUUGCUGUCACUUAUAGAUGGAUCCGCGCUGCAUUAGCUAGUUGGUAAGGUAACAGCUUACCAAGGCAACGAUGCAUAGCCGACCUGAGAGGGUGAUCGGCCACACUGGAACUGAGACACGGUCCAGACUCCUACGGGAGGCAGCAGUAGGGAAUCUUCCGCAAUGGGCGAAAGCCUGACGGAGCAACGCCGCGUGAGUGAUGAAGGUCUUCGGAUCGUAAAACUCUGUUAUUAGGGAAGAACAUAUGUGUAAGUAACUGUGCACAUCUUGACGGUACCUAAUCAGAAAGCCACGGCUAACUACGUG